GAUGAACGCUGGCGGCGUGCUUAACACAUGCAAGUCGAACGAAGAAGCCCAGCUGGUUGGUUGGAUUAGUGGCGGACGGGUGAGUGACACGUAAGUGACCUGCCCUUAACUCUGAGAUGGGCCUGGUAGACGGGGACGAAUACCGAAUAGGAGCGUGCACCAAACGGGGGGUGGUGGAAAGAUUUAUCGGUUUUGGUUGGACUCGCGGCCUAUCAGCGGGUGGGUGAGGGAAUGGCUACCGAAGGGGAGGACGAGGAGCCGGCCUGGGAGGGGGACCGGGCCCAGUGGGCCUGAGACACGGCCCAGACUCCAACGGGCGGCAGCGGUGGAGAACAUUGCGCAAUGGGCGCCAGCCUGAUGCAGCGACGCCGCGUUGGGGAGGACUGCUUUCGGGUUGUAAACCUCUUUCUGUAGAUAAUAAGAGAGAGUGACGGUACCUGAAGAGAAAGCACCGGCUAACUACGUG
rnacentral:rRNA from 1 species